rnacentral:rRNA from 9 species
GCGAGCGGUUCGCCGCCUGUGACGUCACGAGAAGUCCACUGAACCUUAUCAUUUAGAGGAAGGAGAAGUCGUAACAAGGUUUCCGUAGGUGAACCUGCGGAAGGAUCAUUG